GACGAACGCUGGCGGCGUGCUUAACACAUGCAAGUCGAACGGAAAGGCCCUGCUUUUGUGGGGUGCCCGAGUGGCGAACGGGUGAGUAACACGUGAGUAACCUGCCCUUGACUUUGGGAUAACUUCAGGAAACUGGGGCUAAUACCGGAUAGGAGCUCCUGCUGCAUGGUGGGGGUUGGAAAGUUUCGGCGGUUGGGGAUGGACUCGCGACUUAUCAGCUUGUUGGUGGGGUAGUGGCUUACCAAGGCUUUGACGGGUAGCCGGCCUGAGAGGGUGACCGGCCACAUUGGGACUGAGAUACGGCCCAGACUCCUACGGGAGGCAGCAGUGGGGAAUAUUGCACAAUGGGCGGAAGCCUGAUGCAGCAACGCCGCGUGCGGGAUGACGGCCUUCGGGUUGUAAACCGCUUUCGCCUGUGACGAAGCGUGAGUGACGGUAAUGGGUAAAGAAGCACCGGCUAACUACGUG
rnacentral:rRNA from 1 species